UCGGGAAUUUUGGGCAAUGGGCGAAAGCCUGACCCAGCAACGCCGCGUGAGGGAUGAAGUAUUUCGGUAUGUAAACCUCGAAAGAAUGGGAAGAAUAAAUGACGGUACCAUUUAUAAGCUCCGGCUAACUACGUGCCAGCAGCCGCGGUAAUACGUAGGGAGCAAGCGUUGUUCGGAUUUACUGGGCGUAAAGGGCGCGUAGGCGGCGCGGUAAGUCACUUGUGAAAUCUCUGAGCUUAACUCAGAACGGCCAAGUGAUACUGCUGUGCUAGAGUGCGGAAGAGGCAACCGGAAUUCUUGGUGUAGCGGUGAAAUGCGUAGAUAUCGAGAGGAACACCUGAGGCGAAGGCGGGUUGCUGGGCCGACACUGACGCUGAUGCGCGAAAGCCAGGGG
rnacentral:rRNA from 1 species